rnacentral:tRNA from 1 species
GAAAUACCUUACUGUGAACUUCUAAUUCACUUGAUAAUAUUAAUUUAUUAGUAUUUCU